AACAAACGCUGGCGGCGUGCCUAACACAUGCAAGUCGUACGAGAAAGUCGGCUUCGGCCGAUGAGUACAGUGGCGCACGGGUGAGUAACGCGUGGGUAAUCUGCCCCCCGGUCAGGAAUAACCCGCCGAAAGGCGGGCUAAUACCCGAUAACACUGACGCUCUGCGGAGUGUCUUUCAAAGAAGGCCUCUGUUUACAAGCUUUCGCCGGAGGAUGAGCCCGCGUACCAUUAGCUAGUUGGCAGGGUAAUGGCCUACCAAGGCAACGAUGGUUAGCUGGUCUGAGAGGAUGGCCAGCCACACUGGAACUGAGACACGGUCCAGACUCCUACGGGAGGCAGCAGUGAGGAAUCUUGCGCAAUGGGGGAAACCCUGACGCAGCAACGCCGCGUGAGUGAAGAAGGCCUUCGGGUCGUAAAGCUCUGUCAGAUGGGAAGAAAUGGAUGGGGGCUAAUAUCGUCCAUCCUUGACGGUACCAUCAGGGGAAGCACCGGCUAACUCCGUGCCAGCCGCCGCCGUAAAAC
rnacentral:rRNA from 1 species